UUGAAAGGGAAACGAUUGAAGUCAGUCGUACCGACGAGAAAUCAGCUUAUCGUGUGUUAACUUGUGGGCGUGCGUGAGUUUCGGCCUCGCUGUUUACAUGUUUGUGCGCUUUGGGUGUACUUUUUCGUAUGGUUGGCCAACAUCAGUUUCGAUUACUAUAAAAUGACUGGCGGAAUGUAGCUUCGAUUUCGGUUGAAGUGUUAUAGCCUCUGGUAGAUGUGGUGAUUGAGACUGAGGAUUGCAACGAAUAUCCUUUGGGCUAUCCGUCUGGCCUCUGAAAGUUGCUUGGGUGCUGAAAGCGUGCUUACGGUUAUCAAAGUCGAUGGUCAAUAGGUUAGAACGGGUUAAAUUCGUUAAGGAUGUUGACGUA
rnacentral:rRNA from 1 species